rnacentral:rRNA from 1 species
CGCGCAGGUGGUUGAUUAAGUCUGAUGUGAAAGCCCCACGGCUUAACCGUGGAGGGUCAUUGGAAACUGGUUGACUUGAGUGCAGAAGAGGGAAGUGGAAUUCCAUGUGUAGCGGUGAAAUGCGUAGAGAUAUGGAGGAACACCAGUGGCGAAGGCGGCUUCCUGGUCUGUAACUGACACUGAGGCGCGAAAAGCGUGGGGGAGCAAACA